rnacentral:lncRNA from 10 species
GAGCUUUGGCACUGGUCCAAGAAACAGGAUAAGCUAAAUCUCUGCAUCUAUUCUGGACACCAGAAUGGCGCGGGGACCAUUUAGAGGUGAGAUGGGCAGAUGAGGAGCUGAAGUUUCAGAGAGGUUAAGCAAUUUGCCUAGGUUCACACAGCAAAGAUGAUGAAACUUACAACCACAAGGUGAGCCCUUCUUACUAGAAGUUCUCUUCGUGUCUCCUGGUGUUCACAUAUUGGAAGACUUAAUCCUUCAGUGACCGGGAAAAGACCUCCUAGGACCUACCAAUCCAGCCUUAUCAGACACCUGGCAGAGAAAGUGAUUUCUGAAGCAGGAGAAAACCCAGGAAGAUUGCUCAGUUCCUGUGCAAGCUGCUUCCCAGCUGGAGAUGACAGUUAAUCUUGAAAAUCAAUUCAGUGCCUGCUCUCACUGCAGACACUCCUCAGGGCAGGCCACGGCUCCUCUCACCACCGUUAAACAGAAUAAAAAGUGGGGAAUUGAGCAGCAUAA